GACGAACGCUGGCGGCGCGCUUAACACAUGCAAGUCGAGCGAGAACCAGCCUUUCGGGGCUGGGACAGCGGCGAACGGGUGAGUAACACGUGAGUAAUCUGCCCUCGGCACCGGGAUAGCCCGGGGAAACCCGGAUUAAUACCGGAUGGCCUCUCGAGCUCUCGGGCUCGUGAGAAAAGGUAGUUUCGGCCUCCGGCCGAGGAGGAGCUCGCGGCGGAUUAGCUUGUUGGCGGGGUAACGGCCCACCAAGGCGACGAUCCGUAGCUGGUCUGAGAGGAGGAUCAGCCACACUGGGACUGAGACACGGCCCAGACUCCUACGGGAGGCAGCAGUGGGGAAUCUUGCGCAAUGGGCGAAAGCCUGACGCAGCGACGCCGCGUGGGGGAAGAAGGCCUUCGGGUUGUAAACCUCUUUCAGGAGGGACGAAGCCACUCGGGUUAAUAGCCCAGAGGGUGACGGUACCUCCAGAAGAAGCCCCGGCUAACUACGUGCCAGCCGCCGCCGAA
rnacentral:rRNA from 1 species